UACUAAGCCAUGCCAGUCAUUGUAGCAAUACAAGGCAUACGGCUCAGUAACGCGUAGUCAACCUAACCUAUGGACGGGAAUAACCUCGGGAGUCUUAGAAUAAUGCCCGAUAGAACAUUAUGCCUGGAAUGGUUUAUGUUCCAAAUGACUUAUCGCCGUAGGAUGGGACUGCGGCCUAUCAGUUUGUUGGUGAGGUAAUGGCCCACCAAGACUAUUACAGGUACGGGCUCUGAGAGGAGUAGCCCGGAGAUGGGUACUGAGACACGGACCCAGGCCCUAUGGGGCGCAGCAGGCGAGAAAACUUUGCAAUGUGCGAAAGCACGACAAGGUUAAUCCGAGUGGUUCCUGCUAAGGGAACCUUUUGUUAGUCCUAGAAACGCUAACGAAUAAGGGGUGGGCAAGUUCUGGUGUCAGCCGCCGCGGUAAAACCAGUACCUCAAGUGGUCAGGAUGAUUAUUGGGCCUAAAGCAUCCGUAGCCGGCUCUGUAAGUUUUCGGUUAAAUCUGUACGCUUAACGUACAGGCUGCCGGGAAUACUGCAGAGCUAGGGAGUGGGAGAAGUAGACGGUACUCGGUAGGAAGUGGUAAAAUGCUUUGAUCUAUCGAUGACCACCUGUGGCGAAGGCGGUCUACUAGAACACGUCCGACGGUGAGGGAUGAAAGCUGGGGGAGCAAACUGGAUUAGAUACCCGGGUAGUCCCAGCUGUAAACUAUGCAAACUCAGUGAUGCAUUGGCUUGUGGCCAAUGCAGUGCUGCAGGGAAGCCGUUAAGUUUGCCGCCUGGGAAGUACGUACGCAAGUAUGAAACUUAAAGGAAUUGGCGGGGGAGCACCACAAGGGGUGAAGCCUGCGGUUC
rnacentral:rRNA from 1 species